ACGAACGCUGGCGGCGUGCCUAAUACCUGCAAGUCGAGCGAAGUUUUUCUGGUGCUUGCACCGGAAAAACUUAGCGGCGAACGGGUGAGUAACACGUAAAGAACCUGCCUCAUAGACUGGGACAACUAUUGGAAACGAUAGCUAAUACCGGAUAAUAGCAUUAACUGCAUGGUUGAUGUUUAAAAGUUGGUUUUGCUAACACUAUGAGAUGGCUUUGCGGUGCAUUAGCUAGUUGGUGGGGUAAAGGCCUACCAAGGCGACGAUGCAUAGCCGACCUGAGAGGGUGAUCGGCCACACUGGGACUGAGACACGGCCCAGACUCCUACGGGAGGCAGCAGUAGGGAAUCUUCCGCAAUGGGCGAAAGCCUGACGGAGCAACGCCGCGUGAGUGAAGAAGGAUUUCGGUUCGUAAAGCUCUGUUGUUAGGGAAGAAUGAUUGUGUAGUAACUAUACACAGUAGAGACGGUACCUAACCAGAAAGCCACGGCUAACUACGUG
rnacentral:rRNA from 1 species